rnacentral:miRNA from 1 species
UCUACCCUGUAGAUCCGGGCUUUU